rnacentral:rRNA from 1 species
ACACGUAGGGGGCGAGCGUUGUUCGGAAUCAUUGGGCGUAAAGGGCGUGCAGGCGGUCCUGCAAGUCCGGCGUGAAAGACCCCGGCCCAACCGGGGGGACGCGCUGGAAACUGCGGGGCUUGAGUACAGGAGGGGAUGCCGGAAUUCCAGGUGUAGGGGUGAAAUCUGUAGAUAUCUGGAAGAACACCAAUGGCGAAGGCAGGCAUCUGGCCAUGUACUGACGCUGAGACGCGAAGGUGCGGGGAGCAAACAGGUGUAGAUACCCUGGUAGUCCGCACAGUAAACGAUGUGCACCAGGUGGCGGGGGGUCGACCCUCGGUACCGUAGCUAACGCAUUAAGUGCACCGCCUGGGGAGUAUGCUCGCAAGGGUGAAACUCAAAGGAAUUGGCGGGG